AGAAUCAACGCUGGCGGCGUGCCUAACACAUGCAAGUUCGAACGAGAAAGUGGAGCAAUCCAUGAGUAAAGUGGCGACCGGGUGAGUAACACGUGACUAACCUACCUUCGAGUGGGGGAUAACCUCGGGAAACCGAGGCUAAUACCGCAUAACAUCGCAAGAUCAAAGCAGCAAUGCGCUGGAAGAGGGGGUCGCGGCUGAUUAGCUAGUUGGCGGGGUAACGGCCCACCAAGGCGAAGAUCGGUA
rnacentral:rRNA from 1 species